CGCUCAUUGGCCGGCGCUGCCGGCAGCCAGGUCCCUGGCGCUGCGCGGCCUUUGUUCCCGGCUGACAGCUGUGGCCCAGUGGACCUCCCCGCCCACGAGCGCUCCGGCCCAGCGGCCCGGCUGCCCGGCUGCCCGGCUGCCCCAUCUCUCCACGCUGGCUUCGCUCAGACCCCGCCCGGCGGCCCUGCGUGCUGAGUCUGUCUCGCCCUGGUCUGACUUUGCCUGUCGUGCUCUUUCCUCUUUUCUUACCUGCACUCCCUUCUUGCUCCUUCCGCGUUUCCUCUCCUGCUCCCCUUUCUCUGCGACCCCCUUCUUGAUACCCCUUUCUCUAGCUCACCAGUUUCUUUUUCCCAAUAGAUUCCAUCUCCCCACCCCCUGCGCUCGCUCGGAAAGGCUGGGCUUCUCGGGUCUAGGACCUAGGUGGGGGGUUUCUUCCCCACGUCGGGGACCCCGGCACUCCUGUCCCCGGUUUCAAAUCAACUUUUCCACCUCUGUCACAGGGGCAGAGUUUCAGGAGAUCCUUGCUGCCUUCUGGACCGGACCCCGAACCUUCAGUUCCAGGCCUCCUGGAAGGCAGUGCAGCAAAGGGUUUAAAAACACAGCCAGGUAUGGUGGCGCACACCUAUAAUGGAGGACCACUGCAAGUUCAAGGCCCGCCUGCACUAUAUAAUGAAUUCAAGGCCAGUCUGAACUACAAAGGAAGACUCUGCAUCAAAAAGAGACGUGAUUUACAUUUUUUAAAAGACUGAAUCAUAUGCAACAAACUACUCAUAGCAAGAGUGACAGGUGAUUUUUUCCUGUUUUGGGCCAUGUAGAUAAGUAUCAGUUAAGAAUGUUCUUAUCUGCCCGCAAAUCACAGAAACCUGACCCGAGUGCUUCAUUUAAUAGGGUCCCGCAUCAUUCUCUAGAGGUGUGGUGGCUUCCUGACCUGAAUGCUUCAUUUCAUAGGGGCCCCCAUCAUUCUCCAGAAGUGUGAUGGCCUCUGGUUCAGGG
ensembl:lncRNA